UAGGGAAUCUUCGGCAAUGGACGGAAGUCUGACCGAGCAACGCCGCGUGAGUGAAGAAGGUUUUCGGAUCGUAAAGCUCUGUUGUAAGAGAAGAACGAGUGUGAGAGUGGAAAGUUCACACUGUGACGGUAUCUUACCAGAAAGGGACGGCUAACUACGUGCCAGCAGCCGCGGUAAUACGUAGGCCCCGAGCGUUGUCCGGAUUUAUUGGGCGUAAAGCGAGCGCAGGCGGUUAGAUAAGUCUGAAGUUAAAGGCUGUGGCUUAACCAUAGUAGGCUUUGGAAACUGUUUAACCUGAGUGCAAGAGGGGAGAGUGGAAUUCCAUGUGUAGCGGUGAAAUGCGUAGAUAUAUGGAGGAACACCGGUGGCGAAAGCGGCUCUCUGGCUUGUAACUGACGCUGAGGCUCGAAAGCGUGGGGAGCAAACAGGAUUAGAUACCCUGGUAGUCCACGCUGUAAACGAUGAGUGCUAGGUGUUAGACCCUUUCCGGGGUUUAGUGCCGUAGCUAACGCAUUAAGCACUCCGCCUGGGGAGUACGACCGCAAGGUUG
rnacentral:rRNA from 1 species